GUAGUACUCCCUUCGUUUCAAAUUACAUGAUCUCUAUUUGUCUAGACACGGAUGUAUCUGGACACUAAACAAGUAUAGAUACAUUCGUAUCUAAACAAAUAAAAGUCGUGUAAUUUGGAACAGAGGGAGUACUAA
rfam:Triticum aestivum genome assembly, contig: Triticum_aestivum_CS42_TGACv1_scaffold_642465_T_5AL-0.198805_4AS-0.101795